CCCAGUAGCUUAUUGGAAGAGCACUGUAUCUAUUUUAUUACAGGGGAGUCGGUUCAAUUCCGGCCUGGGCCA
rnacentral:tRNA from 1 species